AAUGGGUAUGCAAAGAUGAUGGUGAGGAAACGAAUUAUUAAGAUCACACGUUUGACGAGCAAUGUUUUGGCUCUCAUUAAUAACUAUGCUUCAUCUCAGAUCCUUCAUUGAUUUUCUUGAUAAAACUUUGAUGGCAAGGAAAGUAUUGUGUUUCAUGGAUUUAUGUUCAAUAUGGGAUUUUAUGGUUUUCAAACAGGGCACAAGUUUUUAAGGUACUGUAGAUUGUGUUCUCAACUCUAUGUUUGUGGUUCUUGAUUUUUG
rnacentral:lncRNA from 1 species